CAGCCGCCGCGGGAAUACGUAGGGUGCAAGCGUUAAUCGGAAUUACUGGGCGUAAAGCGUGCGCAGGCGGUUUUGUAAGACAGAGGUGAAAUCCCCGGGCUCAACCUGGGAACUGCCUUUGUGACUGCAAGGCUAGAGUACGGCAGAGGGGGAUGGAAUUCCGCGUGUAGCAGUGAAAUGCGUAGAUAUGCGGAGGAACACCGAUGGCGAAGGCAAUCCCCUGGGCCUGUACUGACGCUCAUGCACGAAAGCGUGGGGAGCAAACAGGAUUAGAUACCCGCGUAGUACCUGUCUCUUAUAC
rnacentral:rRNA from 1 species